AUAGUAAACAGAAAUAACUACUGGAACCUGAAAGCACAGGUUCAUUUUACUGAAUGGUUAAUUCGACCUGCAGGUCCUCCACUGCGCUAAUUUGACCUGCAGGUCCUCCAACCCUAGCCGCUCGGGCCGCUGGUGUGCAGCAUCGCCAUGGACGCCGGCGGGGCGCCCGCACCUCCGACGCCUUCAACGUUGCCUACGGGGCAUCCACCUCCUGCAAGAUAUCGAGCUGACCCGGUCUGUGCCUAAACGAGCAGCACCGCGGCUCCAUGCCUCCUCGCCUACGAGGACGACAACAUGGCCAGGUUGACGAAGAUGGCGAGGUCCUGCUCCGGAGAGUGCUCCAGAGUACCUGUCUGAGGAGCAGUGCCACCCCUGUUGAUCUACCAGG